rnacentral:tRNA from 1 species
GGGUGGUUUGAUGAUUUCAAUUAUUCGCAUCAAGUAUUUAGCUUGGCGCAGUGGACUAUUUUCACCACCUCAUCUGCAGGUUUUGUAGCUAGCCGUAUCACAGGUUCGAACCCUGUACCACCCACCA